CCAGGCUCUUUCCACUACGUUCCAGCGAGGAGCGUAGUGGAAAGAGCCUGGGU
rnacentral:miRNA from 1 species